rnacentral:rRNA from 1 species
GACGAACGCUGGCGGCGGGCUUAACACAUGCAAGUCGAACGAAGUGGCGAACGGGUGAGUAAUAAGUGUGUAACCUGGCCUCCUUUUUGGGAUAAGCCUUUGAAACGGGGACCAAUACCGAAUAAAGGGGGAUGGGAGAGGGGCUUAUCAGCGUGGUGGUGGGGUGAUGGCCUACCAAGGCGGUGCCGGGUAGCCGGCCUGAGAGGGUGACCGGCGACAUUGGGACUGAGAUACGGCCCAGACGCCUACGGGAGGCAGCAGUGGGGGAUAUUGCACAAUGGGCGAAAGCCUCAUGCAGCGUCGCCGCGUGGGGGAUGAAGGCUUUCGGGUUGUAAACCUCGUUCGCUAGCGAACGGGUAGGUGGAGAAGAAGCGCCGGCUAACUACGUGCCAGCCGCCGCGGUAAUAC